rnacentral:rRNA from 1 species
UACGGAGGGUGCGAGCGUUAAUCGGAAUUACUGGGCGUAAAGCGUGCGCAGGCGGCGGCUCAAGUCAGGGGUGAAAUCCCCGGGCUUAACCUGGGAAUUGCGCUUGAAACUAGGUUGCUAGAGUGUGGCAGAGGGGGGUGGAAUUCCACGUGUAGCAGUGAAAUGCGUAGAGAUGUGGAGGAACACCGAUGGCGAAGGCAGCCCCCUGGGUCAACACUGACGCUCAUGCACGAAAGCGUGGGGAGCAAACAGG